ACCAGCAGCCCUAUCACCCUGUAGCUCACAGCUCUCAGCUCUCAGCUGGCAGCCCCACUGGAGCUCAGCAGGUGUGAGCCUGGUCAGUACCUGGAUGGGAGACCUCCUGGGAAAGCUCAGGUUGCUGCUGGAA
rnacentral:rRNA from 1 species